UCUCAGUGGAUCCCCUGGCUCGUGCAUCGAUGAAGAACGCAGC
rnacentral:rRNA from 1 species